rnacentral:rRNA from 1 species
CAGCCGCCGCGGUAAUACGUAGGGUGCAAGCGUUAAUCGGAAUUACUGGGCGUAAAGCGUGCGCAGGCGGUUUGUUAAGACAGAUGUGAAAUCCCCGGGCUCAACCUGGGAACUGCAUUUGUGACUGGCAAGCUAGAGUGUGGCAGAGGGGGGCGGAAUUCCGCGUGUAGCAGUGAAAUGCGUAGAGAUGUGGAGGAACACCGAUGGCGAAGGCAGCCCCCUGGGCCAAUACUGACGCUCAUGCACGAAAGCGUGGGGAGCAAACAGGAUUAGAUACCCGCGUAGUCCCUGUCUCUUAUAC